UGGCUCAGAUGGUAAAGCGUCUGCCUGAAAUGUAGGAGACCCGGGUUCAAUCCCUGG
rnacentral:tRNA from 1 species